GACGAACGCUGGCGGCGUGCUUAACACAUGCAAGUCGAGCGGUAAGGCCCUUUCGGGGUACGACGAGCGGCGAACGGGUGGAGUAACACGUGGGUGACCUCGCCCUCAGCUCUGGGAGUAAGCCUCGGGAAACGUGGGUCGUAAUACUGGAUAUGACUCCACGGUGCAUGUCGUGGGGUGGAAAGCCUUGUGCGGCUGAGGAUGGGCCCGCGGCCUAUCAGCUUGUUGGUGGGGUGAUGGCCUACCAAGGCGACGACGGGUAGCCGGCCUGAGA
rnacentral:rRNA from 1 species